UUUAUAUAGUUAGGCGAGACUUUUUUUAUUCAUUGGUUUACGGAUCCGCCGACCGUAAAUAUUCAGAAAGUGAAAAAUAAAAAAAAAAAUUGGAUGUCAACAAUUUUACGAUUUUAGUUAAUUUGGGGUUCUAACAUGAAGUACACGCCAAGUAAACUUUGACUCUAAGUACUACUGGCUCAUGUUAUCGUUGUGACAAUCUUGAAAAACAAUGUUUUUUUAAAUUUUUUUUCUGACCUACCGACCUGUUUUUUUCCAAGUAAAAUCCGUAAACCAAUAAAUACUAAGUCUCGCCUUAUGUAAAUAGUGUUCUAGUCCUUGUCUUUAAUUUAUGUCCAC